CCCAGGUACUAAUCAGGUGGAACCAGACGAUCUUCCACGGCACACCAGUUGGGAAACACUGGUCUACUAUGCAACUCCACAUUUGAAAAUGGACUCCAGGUCUCUCCUCUUAGACGCGCUGUCUCUAUCCAAGAAUGAGUGUUUCUGUUUGGGUGUCAAGCUGGUGAGAGGAGCCUACAUGGACAAAGAGAGAAAACUAGCGAUGAAAGAGGGUCACCAGGACCCCAUCCAUCAGAGCUGGGAGGACACCAAUGACAGGCUGUUAUAACGGAUGCCUUGAUGUGAUGCUGGAUGUCAUGUCGCAGGAACCUGAGCGGUACAGGUUCAUAGUGGCCACUCACAACGAGGAGUCAGUGAGACGAGCUGUGACACGCUGAGACAGCAACGUAAUCGAGGUGGUAUUUGAUGUACAGAAAAUCAAAAGAUUGCUUUCAUAUACUUUAAUGUGUGAAAUGCUUAUCAAAUUUCACAAAAAAGGAAAACAUGAUGCUCAGAAUUUUCUGUAACCUACAGGUGAGGAUUUAUAAAACUAGACUUAAGCAACAGAUCCAAACUUCUCUACAGACUAAGCUGCUUUUGCAAGAUUUUUGUUUAAAGCAUAAUCGAAAUGCUUUUUUUC